AUUGAACGCUGGCGGCAGGCCUAACACAUGCAAGUCGAGCGGAUGACGGGAGCUCGCUCCUAGAUUCAGCGGCGGACGGGUGAGUAAUGCCUAGGAAUCUGCCUGGUAGUGGGGGACAACGUUUCGAAAGGAACGCUAAUACCGCAUACGUCCUACGGGAGAAAGCAGGGGACCUUCGGGCCUUGCGCUAUCAGAUGAGCCUAGGUCGGAUUAGCUAGUUGGUGGGGUAAUGGCUCACCAAGGCGACGAUCCGUAACUGGUCUGAGAGGAUGAUCAGUAACACUGGAACUGAGACACGGUCCAGACUCCUACGGGAGGCAGCAGUGGGGAAUAUUGGACAAUGGGCGAAAGCCUGAUCCAGCCAUGCCGCGUGUGUGAAGAAGGUCUUCGGAUUGUAAAGCACUUUAAGUUGGGAGGAAGGGCAGUAAGUUAAUACCUUGCUGUUUUGACGUUACCGACAGAAUAAGCACCGGCUAACUCCGUGCCAGCCGCCGCCGUAA
rnacentral:rRNA from 1 species